AGAAUCAACGCUGGCGGCGUGCCUAACACAUGCAAGUCGCACGAGAAAGGGACUUCGGUCCUGAGUACAGUGGCGCACGGGUGAGUAACACGUGAAUAAUCUACCUCCGAGUGGGGAAUAACUGAGAGAAAUCUUAGCUAAUACCGCAUAACACUUACGAGUCAAAGCAGCAAUGCGCUUGGAGAGGAGUUCGCGGCAGAUUAGUUAGUUGGCGGGUAAUGGCCCACCAAGACGAUGAUCUGUAU
rnacentral:rRNA from 1 species